CUUUCUUUAGUCUAGAGACUCUAGACUCUUCUAAAUAGACUAAACAGUAAACUCUUCUUGUCUUCCUCUUCAACAUUUGAGAACUUACAAAGCAAUAUUGUACUGGCUGGGCGAUGGGUCUGUUGGCUCCGUGACUUUGUCAGUCCGUCCCUGAAAUUUUCGGUGCAGUGAUCGGUCGAAUGGUCGCUUCUUAUGUAGGAGAAAGAUGGUGAAUCUAGAAGUGGUGAUAGGCGAAUUUGGUGGGUGUGGGUCGGCUAACAAAACUGUUAGGAUCUGGAGGAGAGGGGUGGAGAAGACUAGAAGAGGUAUUCUUGUUUGAUGUUUCAGUUUUUUUUUAUUUAUUAAAUAAUAAAUAUUUUUGUUUUAAGUUGUU